GUGUUCACUUUAGCAGCACAUACACUAAAAAUGGGAAUGAUACAGAGAGGAUUAGCAUGGCCCCUUGCGUAAUGAUGAUAUGCAAAUUUAUGAAGCGCCCCAUAUUUAA
ensembl:snRNA U6 U6 spliceosomal RNA